GGAUUGUGGCUCAGUGGUAGAGUACUUGCCUAGCACAUGUGAGGCCCUGGGUUCAAUCCUCAGCACCA
rnacentral:tRNA from 1 species